CAGGGAAGUGGUCCUGUCCCCGCAGCCCCGCGCCUUCUCUGACAUGCCCCUCUCGAAGCAGCGUGUGUUCCCCACUUUGAUUUCCAACGGCCCCUUUUGUUCUCUACACAAAGGCCCGCUGAGGUCGGGCCGACGCUGGCGGCGGCGGUGGCAAUGGCGCGCAGAACGGGCUGAGGCGGCCCGCCAUGGCCUUCUGCUCCCUCAGAUAACGCGUCAGCCCAGGGCAGCGCUGUCUUCCCUCCCUCCCUUCCUGCCUGCCUGCCUGCCUGCCCCACACAUGCAGCGCUUAGAUUAUAGCUGCUCUGGCACUGUGUGGGGGGGGGCGUCUGCCCGGGGCUUGCCGUCCUUACAGCGGCCAUGGCGCCGCACCGACCCGCAGAGGUUCUCGGCUGGAGAGCAGGGCAGCCGAGACCACCAGUCUAAUUAGUGCCUUCAACCUAUGCAAGGGCUGAAAUGAAAUUGUUAUUCCCCACCUGAGAAAUGAGAACGUCCUCUCCUGCCAUGCGGUUUCAUGCUGAUGCAGUAGAUUCUCUGUUCUCUGUGCAGAUGUUACUCUGAGUAGCGUGAGCAUUACUAGAUCACCCACAGAGCCUCGCUGCCGUAAAGGGCAGUGUCACCUUGGAUAGUUUUUAAAGUGCAGUUUCAUGUUAUGUUUUAUCUGAUCCAAAUCAACUUGCUGCUAGGAAAAAAGUGAGACAUCUUCCCCCACCCUAUUCCUGCUUAACAAUUCCACCAGCUGGCCUGCCCCUCUCUGAGACAGCUCACAGCUAGCAGGAAACUCACAGGGGUCAACAGUUUUCCACUGGUUUCAGUUCCUCCAUCAUCAUUUCACUCUGGUCAGACGAGCAUUGGCCAGCUCUGGUGAGCUGGGAGGUUCAGUACUGUGUCCUUCCUGUCAGAGUUAUCUGGCUUCAAAAGGUUGGUUUUCCACAUUGCCAGCCUCACAGCACCAUCAGCUCUGGUGGGUCCUCAUUUGUUCAAACAUCAUAGUCCUGUGGGUCAACUUGCUCUCAGCUACUUCUACAAAAGGCUUCACUAUUUUCCAGUUACGAUCUCGACAGUAUUUGUGUAAAGCCAUAGCCACAUUUGCUCAGGUCUAACUGCCUGGAACCUCUUAAGCAGCUUGACUGAUAAUUGGCAAGGAUGUGAUGUGACACAAUUUCUACUUUUAGCAGUCUGAUGUUACCAUCACUGCUACAAGCAGAGUAUGUCACUCCACAUCUGUAUUUGGUUUGGUGGGAGGAGGUGUUGUUGAGUUUUUGGGUUUUUGUUUGUUUCCUUUUUUUGUGUGUAGAAGCAAGCACAUAUUUUGUAAUGACUCAUUAAAAUAGAGGAGGCAAAGAAAAAUGUCCUCCAAUGCCAAAAAACACCACAGUAGCAAUCGAUUGAUCUAAGAUGACUGCUCUGAUAAAUACGCUACAGAGGAGGCAGAUCUUGCUUCAAAGAAAAACUGAGAGGAUACAUCAGCUUUCAAAGAAGCCAAGUGGGUGAUUGGCUGGGUGGACAGCACCUCUAAGUCCUCACUGGCUAAGGGAGAGCUCUCACAUCCCCUGCUGUGCCUGCUUUCCCCUGCUUUAAGUGAAAAGGGUGAUUUUAUGACCAUAAUCGUAGCUAAAUAAACAGCAGUGCUAUACACACCCAAUCCUUCAUCAUGAAAAGAUAAUUAUAGAUUUCUCUGAAAGGACUCUGGGUAUGUGUGCGCAAGAAUCACGUAAGCAAAAAUAAAAUAUGUAAUGAGGGACUUAACCCAGAUCUGCCUGUUGCCUAGCUCCAUUUUGUGUGUGAAGUAACGUGGAAAUUUGACUGCAUUACUAGUUCUAGACAGAUACUUUGUAACAAUGCCCAACCCAGAAAGUGAAAUCAAGUAACAAGAAGCCAGCCACUUAGAGACAAGCAUAUUUUUCCUGCAAGACUGCAGAAUUACUGUUGUUCCAUAAUUUCAUGAGCUACAUCCCCAAUUCCUUUAUAAAUGAUCUUUCUUCUUUUGCACAUAUUGUGUCAGAGAUGUCUCCACUGUGGUUAGAGUAACAAGUAACAAUUUCUUGCGAAUUUUUCCACAAAAAAAAUUACAAGUAUUUUCUAAGCAGAGAACUACUAGCUACCCACUACUAACUAAAAAAUGUCUAAAAAGAGUUCCUUUACAGUAUGACAAUAUAUUUGUGGCUCAGAGACAGAGGAGAGAAGUCUGGCAGCUCUGAAGAAAAUUUAAUUUACAGCACAAAAAGGUGGCAUCUGAAGGAAGAUCAAUUUGUGUGUGGGUCAGUAACUCCUGCUGUCACGUUAACAGCUUCAGCACCAUGGAUGUUAUUUUGCUGCCCUGGAUACUGUACCACGGCAGAGAGCUCCUGUGAUAAGCGAGAUCCAUCCCGACCCAGAAGCGAGGGGCCAGCUGCAGGGGAAAGGAGCUGCUCGUGCAGAGCUCACUGCAGGAGAGAAGCCAAAGACCUGGCUGGGAAGCGAUGAACUGCCCUGAUAAAUACAGCACAGCAGAGAGCCACCUCCGGCCAAACAGCAUCACCAGGAGGUGGAAAACUAUUACUCCUCCAUUCACCCUCCUCCUUCAUUAAGAUGGAAGGUCAAUCAGUGUGAAGUUAGCAAGAGCUGAGGCCUGACAAUCAGGUUUGGACUAUGAGACUGCAGCAUCUUGGCCAGCCACAGACACCAGUGGAGUUUUGAUCACUUCCAACCACAUUGCUGCUCAUUUCUGUGUGAAGACCAUGGUACUGGAAUCAGCACCAAGAGAGCAGUGACAUCAUGCUGAAGAAAUGAACUUUGGGGGAACUCCUGACAACCCAGAUAUUUUAAUAUUUUUGUUGACCUUCAAGUAAUUAAAAAAGGGGAAUUUCCCCCAGUAGCCUAUAA